rnacentral:rRNA from 1 species
UACGGAGGAUCCAAGCGUUAUCCGGAUUUAUUGGGUUUAAAGGGUGCGUAGGCGGCCUAUUAAGUCAGGGGUGAAAGACGGUAGCUUAACUAUCGCAGUGCCCUUGAUACUGAUGGGCUUGAAUAUACUUGAGGUAGGCGGAAUGUGACAAGUAGCGGUGAAAUGCAUAGAUAUGUCACAGAACACCAAUUGCGAAGGCAGCUUACUAAGGUAUGAUUGACGCUGAGGCACGAAAGCGUGGGGAGCAAACAGG